rnacentral:rRNA from 1 species
AUUGAACGCUGGCGGCAUGCCUUACACAUGCAAGUCGAACGGCAGCGCGGACUUCGGUCUGGCGGCGAGUGGCGAACGGGUGAGUAAUACAUCGGAACGUACCCUGUUGUGGGGGAUAACUAGUCGACAGAUUAGCUAAUACCGCAUACGACCUGAGGGUGAAAGUGGGGGACCGCAAGGCCUGACGCAGCAGGAGCGGCCGAUGUCUGAUUAGCUAGUUGGUGGGGUAAAGGCCCACCAAGGCGACGAUCAGUAGUUGGUCUGAGAGGACGAUCAGCCACACUGGGACUGAGACACGGCCCAGACUCCUACGGGAGGCAGCAGUGGGGAAUUUUGGACAAUGGGGGCAACCCUGAUCCAGCAAUGCCGCGUGUGUGAAGAAGGCCUUCGGGUUGUAAAGCACUUUUGUCCGGAAAGAAAUCGCGCUGGUUAAUACCUGGCGUGGAUGACGGUACCGGAAGAAUAAGCACCGGCUAACUACGUGCCAGCCGCCGCCGUAACAC